rnacentral:rRNA from 1 species
GGCUCGGCCUAAGUUCCUUGGAACAGGACGUCAUAGAGGGUGAGAAUCCCGUAUGUGGCCAUGGCCCGCGCCUAUGUAAAGCUCUUUCGACGAGUCGAGUUGUUUGGGAAUGCAGCUCAAAAUGGGUGGUAAAUUUCAUCUAAAGCUAAAUAUGGGCCAGAGACCGAUAGCGCACAAGUAGAGUGAUCGAAAGAUGAAAAGCACUUUGGAAAGAGAGUUAAACAGUACGUGAAAUUGUUGAAAGGGAAGCGCUUGCAACCAGACUUGGGCGCUGCCGAUCACCCCGAGUUCUCUCGGGUGCACUCGACAGCGCACAGGCCAGCAUCGGUUCGGGUGGCUGGAUAAAGGCCGUAGGAAUGUAGCUCUCUUCGGGGAGUGUUAUAGCCCACGGUGCCAUGCAGCCCAGCCGGACCGAGGACCGCGCCUUCGGGCUAGGAUGCUGGCGUAAUGGUUGUAAGCGACCCGUCUUGAAACACGGACCAAGGAGUCUAACAUCUAUGCGAGUGUUUGGGCGUUAAACCCAUACGCGGAAUGAAAGUGAACGUAGGUGAGAACCCCUUUGGGGCGCAUCAUCGACCGAUCCUGAUGUCUUCGGAUGGAUUUGAGUAAGAGCAUAGC